rnacentral:rRNA from 1 species
AAGGCUAAUAUUACCGCGAGACCGAUAGCGAACAAGUACCGGUGAAGGGAAAGUUUGAAAAGAACUUUGAAGAGAGAGUUCAAGAGUACGUGAAACCGUUCAGGGGUAAACCUGCGAAACUCGAAUGAACGAACGGAGAGAUUCAUCGUCACUCGGCGGCGUACGGGCGUCGUGCCUCGAUGUUGUGCUUGCAUCACGCAAGUGGUGUAUGGUAUGACACGGGUCGCGUCCGUCGACGUUCACCGAAGGCGUGCACUUCUCUCUUAGUAAUACAUCGCGACCCGUUCGAUGUCGGCAUAAGCGCCGUUCGGGAGUCCAAUCUUCGCGUUCACGCGCGGCGGCUGGACCGUGACGGUGGCCUGCCGGCUAUCGGACGGUAGUACAAAAUCGUACAAUAUACGAAUCGCGCACGCGUCUCAAAACGCGUCCGGCCCGACGCAAGCGUGCACCGCAUAAAGUCUCUGUCCUGCCCGAGUGCGGAUAGGGGCGCGGUGCUGCUGUAUGUUGCUGCCGUGCUGUCUCGGACUGUGCGCGUAUCCGUCUGCGAUGAUUCAUUUUCGGGCACUCGCAGGACCCGUCUUG